rnacentral:ribozyme from 12 species
GUAAGGAAGACAUUCCAAACGGCGAUACACUAGAAACUGGCACCGAAGAAACCAAUUCUAUUUGUUUCCUUUCUUUCGUUAUUUGGGUUGUUUGUUAUUUGUUUCCUUUCUUUCGUUGUUUGGGUUGUUUAGCAA